rnacentral:rRNA from 1 species
CCUAGGGGCUGCAGCGAGGAAUAGUGGUCAAGGGGAGCGAGCCUGAAACAGCCAAGGCGCGUGAGGGAAGACGGCCAUACGGGUUGUAAACCGCUUUUGCCGGGGAGCAACGGGCGCCACGUGUGGCGCCACUGAGAGUACCCGGAGCAAAAGCAUCGGCAAACCCCGUGCCAGCAGCCGCGGUAAUACGGAGGAUGCGAGCGUUAUCCGGAUUUAUUGGGGUUUAAGGGUGCGUAGGCGGAGCGUUAAGUCAGUGGUCAAAUUGAGGGGCUCAACCCCUUCCCGCCAUUGAAACUGGCGCUCUUGAGUGGACGAGAAGUAUGCGGAAUGCGUGGUGUAGCGGUGAAAUGCAUAGAUAUCACGCAGAACCCCGAUUGCGAAGGCAGCAUGCCGGCUUCCGACUGACGCUGAGGCACGAAAGCGUGGGGAUCGAACAGGAUUAGAUACCCCAGUAGUC